ACAGUUUGUGAUGGAUCGACUUGUGAAAGACUUUGAAAAUCAACGUGCCACCAACAGAAACCUUGUCAGAGAUCACCUGAUCUUAUUCGAUCUCCUGCUGCUGGACUGAGAAGAGGAAAUGUCGUUAUCAAUGAAAGAGGACCUCGAGGAGGAUGUCAGCAGAGGAUCAUUUCCGAGGUGUCAAAGAAGACCAAAUCGAAGAAGAAGCGCGAAGAAGAGAAAUCCUUGGUUGAGGAAGAAGAUAUUGAAGAAGAAAAAAAAUUGAGGAAGAUGAUGACGACGACAAUGACAAAGAUGAUUCUGACAAUGAGAGUGAGGAUGAGGAUGACGAUGACGAUGACGACAAUGAUGAUGGACAAGGAAGAUGAUGGCGACAUGGAUAGUGACGUUGAGAUGGAUUCAGAUGAUGAGAAGAAGGAUGAGUAGAUGACAUGCUGAGUAGAUGACAUGCUAUGUGAUGUUUAUGUAUUUUAUAAAUCUUGAAAAUGUAUAAUAAAAAGUUCAA